UAACAACAAGUCUAUUCUGUAACCUGCAUCUGUUUUUAACCCUUUGAAAUUCGGCAGCAUUCAUUUUAGUCUCACAUAGGAAAAUAAUAUCGGGGUUGUUGGCAACAAUAAGUUGCUUUAGUUCCCAAAUUGUCGCAGAAGACCCCAACCCACGACAAUUCCACUUAAAACCUUCAUUGAUCCUGGCGGAGCUGUUCAAAAGCCGCCGCCUUUGUUGGUGUCAAGCUAUCCUGUAAUUUCCUCCGAACCAUUCUACCUGGACUUUUUUCGGUUAAAUCUCCAUUACUUUCUCUAACUCUUUUUCUUCUUAUUUUUAUUUUCCCCGACCCCUCUCAACGUAUUUUCAUGAUCCAUUUUUCACAAUAUGUGCUUGAUUUUGACUCAUCUUCCGAAUUUUUGACACGUUCCAUUUCCAUUUGACCAUUCG
rnacentral:lncRNA from 1 species